GGAUCCUGGCUCAGGAUGAACGCUGGCGGCGUGCUUAACACAUGCAAGUCGAACGGAACUACUUUAAUGAGAUUCUUCGGAAAGGAUUUGAUUUAGUUUAGUGGCGGACGGGUGAGUAACGCGUGGGUAACCUGCCUCAUACAGGGGGAUAACAGUUGGAAACGGCUGUUAAUACCGUAUAAGCGCACAGUACCGCAUGGUACAGUGUGAAAAACUCUGGUGGUAUGAGAUGGACCCGCGUCUGAUUAG
rnacentral:rRNA from 1 species